GCUUGCCUAGGACCCGCAGCCCCCUGGAGUCCGCCGGCUAACGGGAACGCCCCUCUAGGUCCUCGCGUCCUCCCUGCUGCGCGCGCUGUCCCCGACCUCGUCACGGUAUCAGCCCCCGGCUGCCUUGCAGUGAGGUUCCACCUCCCGUAGCCGCAGGACAGCCGAUAGGAGCCGCUGUAGCGGGCGAUCCCGGCGCCCGCUGGAGCUGGAAUCCCACCCUGGCACGCACUUGUUGUGACCUUGGUCAAUUCAGGUUAUACCUGGGAGGCGUUUACCAAGAGGCCCUACGUGGGUACCACUCCUGCUUUCCUUCCUAGAACGGCCAGGAGCUGGAACUCUCUUCCCCCAGUCCCCCCGUCAGUCUGCAGCAUGGCCCCACGGUUCCUGUCCCUGCUGGCAGCCCUGACCCUGGCUGGGGUCCCUGAGGCCUUCACUGAUGCUCUGGAAAGGGACAGCUCAGGUAAGCAACCCGCUUGGGGUCACUUUCUCUGUCUCCUGCACCUUCCCUAUGGCAGGGAAUGGCCUCUGGUUCGGCCCUAACCAACCUCUUCCAGCUUGGGGGACUCAGGGAGGAGGAGAUAGACUUUGGAGGACUGUGGGGAAAGGUCUGGGCUGGGACCCUUUGAAAAAAGAGAUGAGGUGUGGGUCCCUGGUCGGGUGUGGAAACUUGAGGUAGGGCUGGGGAGGGGCACCAGGUGCAAUGUUGCCAGCCUCUAGGAUGGAGGGGGGGACCCUUGGGACCAGGUGGGGGGCUGGGAGGCAGAACAGAGGUGGAGCUGGGAGAGAUUCUGGACAGAAGUUUUGAGCCCUGGACUGUAGGACCCAGGGGGCGGGGCUAGAAGACUGUGGGUGGGGCCCACAAAUCCUGGGGCGGUACUCUGGGGGCGGAUUGACUCGGAGACUUUGGGGACCGGUCUGGGGAUCAAGAAGUGGGUUUGCAGGACCCUGGGGAUGGGGGCCCAGGUUGCUGGGGACGGUUUAGGAAAACCCAAAGGCGAGGCCGGGGAGUCCUGG